UACGUAGGGGGCAAGCGUUGUCCGGAUUUAUUGGGCGUAAAGAGCGUGUAGGCGGCCAGGUAGGUCAGCUGUGAAAACUCGAGGCUCAACCUCGAGACGUCGGUUGAAACCACCUGGCUAGAGUCCGGAAGAGGAGAGUGGAAUUCCUGGUGUAGCGGUGGAAUGCGCAGAUAUCAGGAGGAACACCAAUAGCGAAGGCAGCUCGCUGGGACGGUACUGACGCUGAGGCGCGAAAGCGUGGGGAGCGAACAGG
rnacentral:rRNA from 1 species